rnacentral:rRNA from 1 species
AACGAACGCUGGCGGCAGGCUUAACACAUGCAAGUCGAGCGCCCCGCCAGGGGAGCGGCAGACGGGUGAGUAACGCGUGGGAACGUACCUUUUGGUUCGGAACAACUCCGGGAAACUGGAGCUAAUACCGGAUAAGCCCUAACGGGGAAAGAUUUAUCGCCGAAAGAUCGGCCCGCGUCUGAUUAGCUAGUUGGUGAGGUAACGGCUCACCGAGGCGACGAUAAGUAGCUGGUCUGAGAGGAUGAUCAGCCACACUGGGACUGAGACACGGCCCAGACUCCUACGGGAGGCAGCAGUGGGGAAUAUUGGACAAUGGGCGCAAGCCUGAUCCAGCCAUGCCGCGUGAGUGAUGAAGGCCUUAGGGUUGUAAAGCUCUUUUGUCCGGGAAGAUAAUGACUGUACCGGAAGAAUAAGCCCCGGCUAACUUCGUG